rnacentral:snRNA from 1 species
GUUCCUUUGGGGGCAUCCGUUAAAAUUAGAACAAUGCCGAGAACAUUAGCCUUACCCCUCAUCGAGGAUGACACGCACGAUGGUCCAAUUUUUU